rnacentral:rRNA from 1 species
UACGUAGGUGGCAAGCGUUGUCCGGAUUUACUGGGCGUAAAGGAUGCGUAGGCGGACAUUUAAGUCAGAUGUGAAAUACCCGAGCUUAACUUGGGUGCUGCAUUUGAAACUGGGUGUCUAGAGUGCAGGAGAGGUAAGUGGAAUCCUAGUGUAGCGGUGAAAUGCGUAGAGAUUAGGAAGAACACCAGUGGCGAAGGCGACUUACUGGACUGUAACUGACGCUGAGGCAUGAAAGCGUGGGGAGCAAACAGG